GAGACAGAGAGAGAGGUCCGAGAAGAAGGAGAACCAAAAUGGAGGCUGACAUGUUUUUAUCCAAAGUGCAGUGACCAGGGCUGACAGGUAUUCUGACAUCUUGUGACUCUGGCUCUCCCUGAGAGGCACAGUGGGAAGUCCUGCUCUGUGAGUCCAUGGAGUAGGACACACCCAGGCCUCUUCUUUUCGAGCCAGCCAUCAGUCUCCUGAUGGUGGAGAUUUGAUCUGAAGCAUUCAAAUAGGGAACGAGCGCUCAGAGGAAGCUUCAAAUUUCUUUCUACUUGAAGAAGCUGAAUUGCAGACGCUAUCUCUGUCCUGUUAAUCACCGGGUCCACAGUGAAACCAGCCAACUUCAGAGAGUGAGUGAAAAGAGAGACUCUGGUGCUGUGUGACCCCUGACUGUAACCAAGUGUCAUUCUCUCCGCGACGUUCCCUCAGAGCUUGUGCUGACAGACAGCCCUCACCUCCACGUCCACUAACUUUUCCACACGAGGGGUUCUCUGCUCCAUCUGAGCUGCACAAUUCCACCAGGCCUUUUGCUCCUAUUCAGUCAGGUGCUUUGGAGGUAAUGAAGUCUUCCGGGAAAAAUAAACAAAAGAAAUGCACCCGGUUGAUGUC
rnacentral:lncRNA from 1 species